rnacentral:rRNA from 1 species
GUCUACGGCCAUGCCACCCUGAACGUGCCCGAUCUCUUCUGAUAUCAGAAGCUAAGCAGGGUCGGGCCUGGUUAGUACUUGGAUGGGAGACCACCUAGGAAGACCAGGUGCUGUAGGCG